CCUACGGGAGGCUGCAGUGGGGGAUAUUGCACAAUGGGGGGAACCCUGAUGCAGCGACGCCGCGUGGGUGAAGGAGCGUUUCGGCGCGUAAAGCCCUAUCGGCAGGGAAGAAGGAGGACGGUACCUGACUAAGAAGCCCCGGCUAACUACGUGCCAGCAGCCGAGGUAAAACGUAGGGGGCAAGCGGUAUCCGGAUUUACUGGGUGUAAAGGGGGCGCAGACGGCAAGGCAAGGCAGGAGGGAAAGUCCGGGGCCCCACCCCGGGACUGCCGUUGGAACUGGGCGGCUUGAGUGAAGGAGGGGCAGGCGGAAUGCCUGGUGUAGCGGUGAAAUGCGUAGAUAUCAGGAGGAACACCGGUGGCGAAGGCGGCCUGCUGGACUGCGACUGACGUUGAGGCCCGAAAGCGUGGGGAGCGAACAGGAUUAGAUACCCUUGUAGUC
rnacentral:rRNA from 1 species